UACAAGAACCAGUGACACCAUAUGCUCAUACCAAUUUCGAACUCCACAAUUUGAAACACACAACACUCAAGAUUGAAGUCAAGGGUUGUAACAGGGCUUGGGGGUAAUGGCUAACAAAGAAAGGAUAAGGAUAACAAACGUUCUUAAAGCGAUAGCAAACAAAGCAAUGAAAUAGACACUUGGAAAUCACUUUAGAAUGCAUAAUCAACUUUUAAAUGCAAAGGGAAGAUUCAUGCAACACUUAGGGCCGAAUUCAAUGUUUCGGACCCUUUUUUAACAAACAAC
rnacentral:lncRNA from 1 species